GUUGCGGAUUCGUAAGUUCAUCGGUUUUAUAAUGCUUUCAUUUUCUAUAUGGUUGAUUAAAUGGUUAUAAUACACUGCUAUCGAUUGUUACAGCAAAUUGUUUCAUUCAUUUUAGCCUAUGAGUACAUUAAGUUCGGCUGCGGUUUUGGUUGAAUUUUGUAAUUUAACCACAGCAAAAAAAAAACCAAACUUUUAGAAGUUAAAGAAGUAUGACCGAAACUAGAGUCAAUUGAUCGUGUGCCUUUUUUUCGCGCUUUAGGAAAGUCUAUUGUUGACGCAGUGUGUAACGGGUAACGUGCUCGGGACACUUGGACCAAAUAUUAACUGUUUAUUUUCAAGUACCUGCUGUACGUAUACAGAAGAGAUACAGACAUUAUUUCGUAUAAAUAUAUAUUCCAUUUAUAGGUAGAUUUUUACUUUGAAUUAAAUUGAAAUUAUCUCAUAUUGCACAAAUACGUUUACAAUUUUAACUCGUUUUAUAUCUUUCUCUGAACGGCAAACGUUUAUGCACGGUUUUGCUCCAUUAAUUAUCAAUCGUGUUUGCUUUAAUACGUCACAUAGCCAUCAAUGUAUGGUAUUAUAUAUGGUACGGUAACGUCCAUAUAGAUAGAUAUAUAUAAAUACUAUACGAAUGGUUUGUGCUUUAGUAUAUCUAUUUGUUUACUAUAGAAAAGAAAAUGGUUUUCAUUGCGUUCCGAUGAUACUGAAAGGUAUAUAUUGGUUCAAUCGUUUUUCAGUUAUAUAAUUGGUAUGUGUACAUGUUGUUUUUGCUUAGGAGAUUAAAGUUUGCCUGCAUUGAAAUGCAUAUUCAAAUUAAUUGUGUUGGUGCAUUUUAAGUGCACACUGUGUGCUUUUCGUAAUGAAGGGAUGAGGUCGACUGCGGAAGUGUUUAUUCAUCCCUAUAUCCGAACUGU